rnacentral:rRNA from 1 species
UACAGAGGAUGCAAGCGUUAUCCGGAAUGAUUGGGCGUAAAGCGUCUGUAGGUGGCUUUUUAAGUCCGCCGUCAAAUCCCAGGGCUCAACUCUGGACAGGCGGUGGAAACUACCAAGCUGGAGUACGGUAGGGGCAGAGGGAAUUUCCGGUGGAGCGGUGAAAUGCGUAGAGAUCGGAAAGAACACCGGUGGCGAAGGCGGGUCUCUGGGCAGUAACUGACGCUGAGGAGCGAAAGCGUGGGGAGCGAACAGG